GGUGGGAAAGAAAGGGAAAAAGAAAGAAGAAAAGAGAAGGAGAAUAGAGAGAGGGAAGGAGAAAGAGAAGGAAAAAAAAUAAAAUGAGAAGGAAAGGAGAGUUUGUUGUUUAGGGAAGAUUAGGUGUUUAAAAAAAGGUAAUUUUUUUUGUUAUAAAUUAAUGUUAAUUUAAUUUGUUUUUUUUUGUUAUUAUUGUUGAUUUAAUUUGGAUUUAAUUUUUAAUUUUAUUUUUGUAAGGUAUUAUUUGGUUAAAAAGAGCUAUUAAGGUAUGUUUGUA
rnacentral:lncRNA from 1 species